AACCCCGAUCAACUCCGCUCCUCUCGAUCUCCCACAGGAGACGACGCCGCCGCUGCCACCCCAGAGAAGAUGCUGUCGCGGAUGUCCGGGAUUGACGUCUCUCGCUCUCGCGAUCUCGCUGCAGCCGACGAACGGGAUCGCAACCGCCGCCAUCGCGGAUCCCUUCGGACGGAGUGAGUCCCCUGAUCAUUUGCUACCUCGAUGGAAACCACGCCCUAGCCGCCAUCACGGAUCCCUUUGCCGGUGACGAGGUGCUAGAGGAGUCGCCGCCGCCUUCAUUGUGGACCACCGGGUCGCCUUCAGGACACCGCUGCCGAGGUCCACCAUCGCCGCCGUCGAGGUCCGAGAGGGGCAUGACCCUAGGGAGAUCUUCGCCGGGGUUGCCGCCACCGCCGCCGACGUCGCCUGCCCAAGGUGAGAUCCCAGCGCCUGUCUCCUCCUCUCCUUGCAGCGUUAUGCUCUGUCACGAGGCUGGCGGGUGCGUCGAUGGAUGGAGAGGAAAGGUACGGUGCCGUUGAUCCGUCCUGCCUGCGGAUUCAUUGGACAUGUCUUGGUGGUGUGAGCACUCAUCUGGUUGCUCUGUCCUUCAAGUUUCAAGGCGGAUUCAGGGUCAGUGGGUUGGGACGAAUCGACCGCUGUUGUCAUGUGAGAUCAUGGUAAUGUAGAAAUGCAAGGUAAAUGUAAUUGUUGUAUAAUAACGCCCUUGUGUUCUUAUGGAUCACCUUAGGCAGAGUCUCCAUGUAAGCUUCUGGAACAUCCAUCUCCAUGAGAACAUCAGCAUUGAUGGCAUUGUUGCCUUCAGGACUUGGUUGCCAAGCUCCUUCUGGUGUAGAAGCCAUCUCCUCGUCGAGUCUGACAGACCCUCGGGAGGGACCUUCACUGGGGAAGUUGAGCGAGCACGGCAAAGCCAAAGAGAGGCAGAAAGCAAGAUAUCUUCCUUGGAGGAUGUAGGCUGAGUUUCAGAAGAUGAGAGUUGAAAUGACUGGAAUGAGAACAAAAAAAAAAUGGUAGCUUGGUCUUGACGACUAUAGUUUCAAUUCCUUAUUUGAGUCUAGCUCAGGUGUUUCAUAGACUUUUAAAAAUAUCUAUUCUUGAACCUUACUGAAGUGGGCCUCCUUCUGAGGAAAAAAAGUCUAUGAAUGGAUCAUUUGAAAAACAAGAUGCUACAGUUCCUUAAAAGUGAAAUUGCUUGCCAAAUAUAGUAACAGGUAACUCCAAUAUUUGUUGGAAUGAGAUAGCGUAUGCCAGGUGAAUAUUUCUAGAUUUACCUGUUAGGAUUAGUCUGUUAUGUUUCCCUCUAAUUUUUUAUUGCUUAGCUAGGGUAGAUAUUUUUAGUCUGUCAUAUUUCCCUUGAUUUUUUUAUUGCUUAGCUAGGGUAGAUAUUUGUUUCCAGGUGUUACAACAUGGCUUAGCACCAACUACAUCAACGUUGCUCUGCUCCAAUUCUUACCGUCCCACAUCUCAAAGAAUUUGCCUGGUAGUCCCUAUCAUGAAAAAAAGUAGAACAAUUUCUAGCUUUCAUAUGUAUUUGUUUUUGCCGUAAUGUUUAAGAACGAAGCAUUGAUCAAGGUCCCACAAAGGUUAUGUAGUGAUAUUCAUGAUGUUCUAUACGCUAAUUGGAUGCAAGUGACAUGUGUUCUUCUCCUUUUCAAUUUCUCUUAUCUCAGGUUUGAUCUUCUUCUAAUUGAAAGGAUGGAAUUCACGCACUUUGAUGGAACGAUUUGUGAUGUGUGUAUAUUUGUUCAGAAAUACACAUUUAAAUUUGAUCAUUAGUUGUCACUUGGGAUGGGUGUGAUCUACAAAUUUGACCUGGGAAUGAAUGGCUAUGUAUUGGUUAUGCCGAUAGGAUGAUAAAGGUGCCUGCAAUUUGUAUUGUUUUAUGCAUCUAUUUGUAUGAUGCAAUAUGUUCCAGUUUUGGGAAUCUUGUUGGACUUAGCUGGACAGCUAUUGUGAUGUUGAUGCACAAUUACCAUAAUCUACUAUUAUCCGAAUUGCUUUAGGCAAGGAAGAAGGUGGAUGGGGCGCCGAGGAACAUGAUAAGGAAGAGGUUGGAUGAGAGAGGAGGAGAAGAGUGGGGUGAAGGAGGAGAUGGAGGGAAAGAGGGACAAGGACACGGUGACGGAGUUUCUUGAGGCGGAGGGUGGGAGCUUCUUGGAGAUGUUGGACUUCUGCCUGUCCUAGCUUGUUGCUGCCUUGCUGGGUAGGGGCCAAUCUGUCCUCAUGAGGUCGUUGUCAAAUUCCUCACCGAGACUUCGGUGAUGCUGGGACAACUCAAGUAUGAAAUGUUAUGGUAGUUUGUUUGGGAAAUUGUAAAUUCUUGUGCAUGUGGGGUAGAGUAAAUUGGCAAAUAAGGUGGGGCAGUGGGAGGAUUUGUCAACCAAUUUCAUAGUCUUAUUAUAAUUGGGGGUUAGGUUAGCAUAUUGUACAACAACUCACGUCUAAAAGAAAAUUUUAAGGUGCUGGCUUGUUAUCCCAUUUUUCAUUAGCACAUUUAACCAAUUGCUAGCGCAAGUUUAUUUUCAUCUAUAUAAGUUUGCUCUUUCAUUGUUCCCGGUUCUCCUUUUGCUAG